GUGGGAGGGGGCUUGCUCCCGAUAGCGGAGUGUCAGUCAGCUUAUACGUAGCUGACCCACUGCUAUCGGGAGCAAGCCCCCUCCCAC
rnacentral:misc_RNA from 1 species